GCUAGUAAUCGCGAAUCAGAAUGUCGCGGUGAAUACGUUCCCGGGUCUUGUACACACCGCCCGUCACACCAUGGGAGUCAGCAACGCCCGAAGUCAGUGACCUAACCGAAAGGGAGGAGCUGCCGAAGGCGGGGCCGGUAACUGGGGUGAAGUCGUAACAAGGUAGC
rnacentral:rRNA from 1 species